AUAGAAUAACCAUUUUAUGGUUUUUGCUAAAAAACUAUCAAUAUGGUUAUUUUUUAAGAAUUUUUCAAUGAAGAAAUUUAACCAUUUUGGAAGUUUUCGUGCAUUAACCAUUAAACGGUUGAAAAGCUUGAAGUUUUUUCAUCGCCAUUUUGAAAGUUACGUGAAGCAAACCGAACGCGUUUCGCAAAAUCUUUUUUUCGCACGGAUAGAAUAAAAUUCCAAAUAAAUAUAUACCUGUGGUUCGGGUGUGCGUGGAGAGAUUCUGAAAGUGCACCAGUUGGAAGAAUCCGCAAGAGUCCGGAUUCAGUUCCGGUGAAACUUAAACGUGACGUCUUGCGCGGGAGUACUAAUUUAUUACCGGAACGAGCGCACCUAUUGCCACAAAAAUUGGUCAUCCCGAUCGUUCUCCUUAUUCUGAUGGAGCUGGGGCGGGUCGGACAACCCAAAAAGCAAGGAUCAUCCCCGGUGCAUUUAGCGCUAAGAAGCCGAAAAGCGAACAGUGUAAACCGGUCAAAAAUGAAGGAAUACGCCAUCCCGAAAAGCUCCCGUCGGAGCAGAGCAGCUUCGUGACACAGCGGAUGGUCCACAUCAAGUCGAAUGCGAACAAGAUCGUCCGAAAGCCGCUGCUCAAGAAUCGGGAAACAAAGUUUUGGAAACAGGAAUUCUCAUUGCCGAUUACCGGAGAGUCGGGCGGGACCAGAUGUGCAUCAAACCGAACUUUAUGAAGACGGGAGUGUCGUUGAAAUAUGAGAAGGUGGAACAUGGUCGACUCAUUCUGGUGUUCCAGCACCGGGGCAAGAAUAUUGCUAAUAAGGAGGCGAUGCCGCCAUGGCCAGGCUAGGAUUGCCUAUAAGCGUAGGUCGGUUUUCUCAAGCAGACCGAGGGUGUGGACGCGACGCUUAAAAUGGUAGAACCCUGGAUUAUCUGGGACCACCCGAAUAUUGUGACGUUUCGGGGGUGAUCUACAAAUAUGUUCAAAGCAGAAAAUGUGGAAGAGGAACCGAAAAAGAUUCUGAAUACUUCUAAUAUUCAUAUAUUUUUAUGUAUUGUCUAUCACGAUUUUUUAAUUUCAAAACAAAUGAAAAACAUCAAAAUAAACACUACCGGAAACAAGCAUGUUAAACCA